rnacentral:misc_RNA from 1 species
GAUGAAGAACGUAGUGAAAUGCGAUACGUAAUGUGAAUUGCAGAAUUCAGUGAAUCAUCGAAUCUUUGAACGCAUAUUGCGCUCUCUGGUAUUCCGGAGAGCAUGCUUGUUUGAGUAUCAGUAAACACCUCAACUUCCAUAUCUUUUUUGAAAUGGGAGUUGGACUUGAGUGAUCCCAACGCUUUUCCUCACCGAAAAGUGGCGGGUUACUUGAAAUGCAGGUGCAGCUGGACUUUUCUCUGAGCUAUAAGCAUAUCUAUUUAGUCUGCCUAAAAAACAGAUUAUUACAUUUGCUGCAGCUAACAUAAAGGAGAUUAGUUCUUGUGCUGACUGAUGCAGGAUUCACAAAGACAGGCUUCGGCCGACUUUGUAAACUCGAUCUCAAAUCAAGUAAGACUACCCGCUGAACUUAAGCAUAUCAAUAAGCGGAGGA